rnacentral:misc_RNA from 1 species
CAACCCUCAAGCUCAGCUUGGUCUUGGGCGCCGCCACUCACCCGGCGGGCCCUAAAAUCAGUGGCGGCGCCGCCGUGGCCCUGCGCGUAGUACAUCUCCUCGCUCCAGGGACCCGGCGGACGCUGGCCAGCAACCCCCAACGUUCUAC